rnacentral:miRNA from 1 species
UGCUAUGGAUCGUAGGAGCCGA